UACGUAGGGUGCGAGCGUUGUCCGGAAUUAUUGGGCGUAAAGAGCUCGUAGGCGGUGUGUCACGUCGGCCGUGAAAACCUGCAGCUUAACUGUGGGCGUGCGGUCGAUACGGGCAUCACUGGAGUUCGGCAGGGGAGACUGGAAUUCCUGGUGUAGCGGUGAAAUGCGCAGAUAUCAGGAGGAACACCGGUGGCGAAGGCGGGUCUCUGGGCCGAUACUGACGCUGAGGAGCGAAAGCGUGGGGAGUAAACAGG
rnacentral:rRNA from 1 species